UCAUCUUCAUAUCCCAGAGGACAUCUCCAUCAGUACUGAACGAUGGACUGGAAUGGAAAUUACAUAUAAGUGUCAGACCUCUGAAAGAAGACAAACUGAAGGAGGACUCGGUAUCUGGAAGUGUGUCACCACCUAGUGACGGAGCCCAGAAGUGACCGUGAGUCAGAGCUCUGUGUGUGCAGUUCGAACAGCUCCUGGAGGAAGGGAUGAAGCAAACUGAGAGAAGAAGGAAAAACUUUUCUACUACCAUUUACAAAGAAGAAAAUAUCUCACCUGGGAAGAAGACUGAGAGGCUGUCCCAGAGAGAAAGACUUUCUUAAUGAACAGAAUUGUGUCUAUUCCCAUGUAAAAAAAGUGGGUUUGGAAGUUCAGACAAGGAAGUAUUUUACUAGAAGCUGCUUUUCACUGAAGUACUGGGACAUUUGAAAAAACCUUGAAACAGAAAAAGCUGGAACAGAUUUCCAGGGGUUAUCUCCUAGCAGUCAUGAUGGUUUUUAAUCUUGGUUUCUCCUACAGUCCUCUUGAAACAUCUCAUUCUUCCUGCCUGUCCACAGUUACUCACUGGAUGUUGAUUUUAUCAUCAAAGAAUCUGGGUUAGUGAAGUGAAUUUGGCUCAAGGUCUCACAAAGAGGUCACUGUGACUCAGCGAAACAUUCUACAGCCAAAUAGAAACUGAACACUCUUGUCUAAAUUUUAAGACAAUUUCAGUAGAAAAAUAGAGACAACUUCUGUCAGUAAAGUGCAGGAUCCUGCAGGAUCAGAGGCUGAACUGCACUAAAUGCAUUUAAAAUGUACAUAAUUAGUAAUUAAAAUAUUGUACAUUUCCACAGAGAAGGUGUUCAAAUGACCAAAAUUUCAAAAACUAGAAACAUAAACCCAGGUUAAAAUACCUACCUUAAAGACAGACCUGAUUUUUCUAAUCCACUCAUCCACCACUUCUUCCCAAUGACUUUAGUGGAACCAACCCAUUUAAAAGUCAGGCUACUCUCCUAGAGCAUGCUUUCAGGUAGAUUUAGGAUCACAGGUUUUCUUUUGAAAACCAUCUGGUCUUGGCUGUAUCCGUGCUCAGCUUUAGCUCCAUCGUUUGUUUUAGUUCAAGUAACACAAUAUACAGCAGCACUUCCCUUGGCUGCCAGAUUUAGUCAUACAACCAUAACGACACAAUCUGAGAAUGUGUCUAACAUUUCACUGUAUGUUUGUGUCUUCCAGACAGUUUUCCUAAGUAGGGGAGCUAGUGAUGCUUCACAAGCAACCAGCAUGAAUAUGGAGCAAAGUACUCAUUUUGGCUCGUAGCCUGCCAGGAGCCUAGUGACUCCUUCCAGCUCCACCCACCAUCCCUAGACUUUAAACCAAUGGUUCCAAACUUGGUGAAAUUCUGUCACUGUCGGUGAACAAUGGAUCACAGUCACCAGUGGGUACCAGAGACCCAGCUGCCUUUAGGACUGCACUUCUCUAAGUGUCACGUGUCUCUGUUCUAGACUUUUCAAAAUGCUACUUUUUCCAGCAGCAUGACACAAUUCUUUGGGGCUUUAUUUCUUUUGAUGGUAAGAGAUGGUAGCAGAGAAGAGUAACAAGAGUCUUAACAAGUAAAGACAUAAUUUUCUUCAAAUUCAUUUUACAUCAGUUCACAUAAGGCCUCUCUCUAGCCAGAGAAUAGACCUAAGCUAGCAUCAGACUUGUUAGCCAUUAGUUCUGCACUCUUAAAUUUGUCUGCAAAAAAUUAUUUUGAUAGCAACCAAAAGAGUGUUGGCAGACUUGUGGAACAAAAUGAUAUCAUUUACUCAUUUUCUGUGAGAUAAUAAUGACAUUUUAAUUGAAAAAUGUACUCUAAUUACAUCUUUAUAAGCCUGCCUCAGGAGCACAGUAAAAGAACAAAUGGCAAUAUUUUUACUGUACCACAUGAGAAAAGGCUCUCAAAGUCUUAUUUGUAUCAUUUCAUGCAUGUUCAGGAGAUGGAAGCCUCAUAAAAGCAAAAUUAUUUCCUGAUUUUCUCUGAUCCAAAGGAAACUUCAGCCACAUGAAUUAGGGGCAGACUCCGAGGUGGGACUCACUCAUACACCCGGGUGUCCCAUGCCCAGUAUGUGUAGGGAUAUCUCCCUCAGCUUUCACCUGCAGCUCCCAAAGGACAUAGGUCUCUAUGUGUUAUCUUUUAACAGACCACCUGCAGAGGGGUUCAGUGUUAAAAAUGGCACUGGAUGCUUCUGUUUAGGCACCUGGGUCUCUUCCUCCAUGUCAGAGUCAAAUUUGUUUUCCUAAGAAAUUUUCCAGCUGAACCCUGAAAGGGCAGGAAGGAAGAAGAAAUUACUCUCCCAGCCUUGGGUUGCUGCUCCUCUGCCAUGGUUCCAUGAGCAAGUCUUUUUUUGCAAAGAAACCAGGCUGAAAUUGCUGCAAAGGGUAGAUUUUUAUUUAUAACACAACCUACUCCCUCUGUGGAGCUGGAGGCACUGUGCAAAAAGUCAUAAUAAAUCUUAUGAAACAGGAUAAAUAAGUAAGCCCCUUGAAUCCUAGCUGUAGAAUUGAGGUAGAAUAGUGAAUGGAAAAUUAGAUUUUUGUUUUCUCUUCAUUGUUCAAGUUCCAUGUGAUUUUGGAGGCUGUAAAUAUUUUGGGGUCUGUGAAGGGGCAGGAGACUGCCAAGGGUCAGGGAGAUGAGAGUACCUCAAGCACCAGAGGGAAAAGGGCAGAGGUGUCUGUCCCUCAGUUGGGAACCUGCUGAUCUGGGAUGCGGGGAGCACUGCAGCGCAAAAGGCUGGUCCUGGCACAGCUCCUCACCCCUCUCCAAACCAGCAGCACCGGGAAGCAUGGUGGGAAAUGACUUAGAGAAAUCCCAGGACAAGGAUUUCUGGAAAGAAGAUCAGCUCCUCUGGGAGAAAGAUCUCCCUUCUGGAGGAGGACAGCAUUCUAUGGGAAGAAAAAGAAACUCUGUGGACAGAUAAAACAGCUCUCCUGGAGAAGAUAAAGAGGCCCUCCAGGAAUAUAAAACAGCCUUAAGGAUUAUAAAAUGUCCAUCCAGGUGGAGGCCUUUGGUCCUGAGAGAGGGUAUCUCCACAGGGAAAAAGCAUGAAUUUUUCUGCUAGGCUCAGAAAUACGUGGAAAGCCAUGCACACUGAAGUGGAUACUUUAUUUAAGUAGUGCUGAAUUUCAACCAUUGCUCUAAAAUAACAUCUGUCAUCCUUGGUAUAAAUCAGACGAGGGGUUUUGGUGUGAUUUUCUUUAAAGCCAUUGCACUCAUGCUUUCAGGACAUUAUUCAUUCUUUUGAGGUUCUGCAGCCUAAGGAAUGGGGUACACCUCUGGUUUCCUGGCCUGUUAACAGGACGUGUGGGUGGGUAAAGCCACAAGAAGGUGGGAACUUCACAGCUGCAAUCAUCUUCUGGAGCUCAGAACAGCUCACCUGGCUCAGUACAGUAUAUAUCAGCUAAAUAAGACACUGAUCAAUGGUCGCAGUCAGAUCGCCAAUAUUCAAGGGUCAGAGUUAACACUUGAGUCUUAAUGAGACGACUUGUGCUGUUCCACCAGGUUUGGUGGAACAUUUAAUUUCCCACUGCUCUCGGGAGCAUGACGGGAACAUUUACCCUCUUGGGUGAGCCUCCCUCAUCCGGUGUCUGUCUGAGAGAAGUUUUGGCAUCAGCCUUGCUGACAUGAACAGAGGGCAGGGAAGAAGUUGGAAGGAUGACAGAAAUCAGCAGUAUGGGGGAAAAGAUGAAAGCCGGAGGGAAAGCUGGCAGUAAGUCCCUCAAAGAGAGAAAUAAAUUUAUCAGUUUGUGUAUAUUUGUGUGUGUAUUGGUUUGGCACGGCCUGGUUUUUGGUAGCGGGGGAGCCACAGAGGUGUCUCCUGUGAGAACCUCCUGAAGCUUCCACGAUGUCCAGCAGAGCCAGUCUCUGAUGGCUCUGAAAGAUGGACGUACUGCUGGCCAAAACUGGGGCAGUGAGAGAGGUUGGUAGUACCUCUGUGAUGACAGAUUUAAGAAGAAAAUCAAAACAAAGUACACACAGUUUUGCUUCUCAUCAGAGAAGAGGAGGAGGUGAGAACAUGUGAGGGAAAACAACACGGCCAACACCAAGGUCGGUGAAGAAGGAG